GAUAAGGAUGAUAUAGACUAGACAUCGCGCUCUUUUUACCAGUUCAGUCGAAAUAUCAGGGAAAGAGACAUCGCAAACUGAAGUCUUUCGCUGAUAUUUUUCAUCAUUUUUUCUCUUUGCACAAAUUUUUGUUCCGAGAAUCUCCUAAAGGAUGAAGGCUAUCAUGUUUAUGCUGGUGCUUGGGUUGGCGGUGCUGGAGGGAGCUCUUUCAUACAGGGUGUAUCCUUCUCAUUUUGCACGCGACCACGGAAGCGUUCGUCCUUCAGUUGGCCGUCACGGAGGCGGUUGGUCCGGCGGCAGUCGCAGAAAAGGGGGCAUCUUCGGGGGUCUCGGCCCGAUCAGCAAGAGAAGCGCGGCAAUCGAGCCGAAACGCCUGGUUGCGGUGGAUCCCGAUUACAUUGGAAGACCUACAAGGCCUAGGGUUUUCAGUCUAGCUUGUCUUCGGUGCUGGGGACUAGGUAGGCCAAUACAAACGUCGCCUGGUAGCGGUACAUGGCCGGUACGUGUCGUCAGCAAGAGGAGCGCCGUGCGGGCUGAUCUCGUUUCGGGAAAACGCAAGGCUCUACCCACUGGGGACUUCGCAACCACUGGGCCGGGAGCUUCCCGUCAAAGUCUUUGGUGUCGAAGAUGUCAUAAUGAAAGUGGACAUGGAACUGGGCCAAUCAUUAUGAGCUAAAGGUUCCUGGUUUGCGGAAGAGACAUGCACAUGACGCUUGUCGUGAGUGAAAUACGAAUACUCGUCUCUCCGUGAAUUAAUGGGAAAAUUAAGAGACUCGCAAUUAGAUUUAUAUAUUUCCACGAUGUUAUUUUUCAAUCUCAUCAUAUUUGCGCACGAAAUAUCAUAAAAUCAUAGUGUUGUAAAUAUUGCUAUCAUUUUGUAACUGUUUUUAUUUGAUGCCUACUCUACACAUUUUUCGAUUUAAAACAAAUAAAACGCACCUUUUAAUUGAAAAUUUA